rnacentral:lncRNA from 1 species
CAGCACAAACUCAUUGAUUUUAUAUUCUACUACCAUUUGGAUUCUGAGAUCAGGGAAGAACUCACCUUCUAUGACCAAGAAUAUUACCAUUCAGAUCAAUAUAGAAAAGGAUUAUUCUGGAUGACAGUACAUUAAGCAGUAGAAAGAGCACCAAAGGCCAUUAUCAUGAAGCUGGGAAAAAGUUCUGAGCCUGCUAAAUAAGGCCACAGGCCAGAAACAGCACCUCUUUCACUGGGAGAAAAUAGAAGGUCAGAAGGAGCCAAGGCCAGAGGGGAAAAUCAUCUGUCCCUCAGACUCUGCUUCUCAAUCUGCCCUUGCUUCGGGAUCAAGUAAAAGAUGAAGCCAUCCAUCAUCUUUCCCCUAAAAACAUGCCACAUGACAAGAUGUUUAAUUGCUUUUUGUUUUCCAGGCAAGGCUCCUCUUUUCUUCUGGCGGCUUUUCUUGUGGUCACUUUGGCACUCGGGAGCACCUGUGCCAGCCACUGUCCUUGUCUGGUCAGACCUCCGUGUGCCCAGGACGUUGCCAGCCCUGCCUCCUUCUGGAAGUGCUCUCCUCAGCUACCCUGCACUCCUCCUCCCUAAGAUAUUCUCCCUCCCUGGCGAGGGCUCCCUCCCAGCUUCCCUGUGUUGUGUCCUCCCCCGUGCUCCCUCAGGGUGGCCAGUCGCCAAGGUUCCACUCUCAGCCUUCUUCUAUUCCUUCCUAAAUCCAGCCUGUGCUUGUCAACGUUUCCCCGCAGCCCUGGAGAAGGAAGCCUUCUAAAAUGUUCAUCUGACCCCAUCUUCCCCUUGUUUAAAACUCUUCAACAACUCCCCAAAGCUAUCAGGAUAACACUGAGUCACGUUUCCUUUGUUUCCCAUUUCUCCAGUGUGUAAACUAAUCAUUGUACUCACACAACUUAGCCUUGCUUCUUAUUUCCUAGAGGGUAAAACCUAAACUAGUUUUUGGUAUGGAGGAGUCUCCAGGAUCUGAACUCCUGCUUAUUUCUCUAACCACACCUCCAGCUAUACUCCACCUUUACCUCCUCUUCCAGCUAUAUGUAAAUAUUCCAAGUUCCCUAGACUCAGCAUGAAACAGAAAUUGCUCCCUAAAUCACCAUAGCCACCCUAAACUCCCACCGUCAGCCUUUAGAGUGGUCCCAGAGUUCUUCACUUCUCCACCCUUCCAAGGAGCUUUAAUUUCCCCUCUUUUAUUGGCUGUUCUUUCUCAAGAGGAACACAGUCAGUAUCCAGAACAAUCCCACAAACAAGGGGUUAAAUAAAUAUGUGUUGGGCCAAUCUCCAUGAAUGGGUAAAUCUCUUACUAUGACUCCUCUUCAUUCUUUGGGUGAGGCCCACUUUCUAGGGACUCCCCCGUAGUACUGCUCACAAUGGGGCUUCUCCCUCUUUCCAGUGGGACUAGACAGAGAGAACCUUGUUUCUUUAUGGUUCUGGUCUAGAGAGCUGCAGAUGUGCCCAGAGAGCCUUGGGGUGCUGCUGCGGGACAGCAUCGGGGACAGUGAUGACAGGCAGCAUGCUGGGGGCCACCUGCCGUGACGUGGAGACAUCAAGCACACGUUCAGGUUCUCCAGGGGUACUGGGGUUACAGCAUCUUGGGGGACUCCCAAAAACACAAGCCAGGCCAGAGAAACCAUAGAGAAGACCUUUAGGUUUUUAUCCACACAUAAACUACUCAACUUGAAAUUAUCCAAAUAAAUAGAUGGAUUCGAGAAAUGUAUAAGUCAACCCAAGUUAUGAUCACCUGACAAGAGAAUGUCUCAUAUUUAAAAACAGCAGUUUGCAGAGGACUUUUCCGUGCUCAUCAACAUAAUAGGGCGAUUUGGUUUGGCUCUGUGUCCCCACCCAAAUCUCAUCUGGAAUUGUAAUCCCCAUAACCCCUACGUGUCGAGGGAGGGAACUCGUGGGUGGUGAUGGGAUCAUGGGGGCAGUUUGCCCCAUGCUAUUCUCGUGAUAGUGAGUGAGUUCUCAUGAGAUCUAAUGGUUUUGUGAGUGUUUGACAGUUCUUCCUUCACAUGCUUGCUCUUUCUCACCUGCCGCCAUGUAAGACACGCCUGCUUCCUUUUCUGCCAUGAUUGUAAGUUUCCUGAGACCUACCCAGCCAUACAGAACUGUAAGUCAAUU